CCUACGGGGUGCAGCAGUGGGGGAUAUUGCACAAUGGGGGGAACCCUGAUGCAGCGACGCCGCGUGGGUGAAGUAGUAUUUCGGUAUGUAAAGCCCUAUCGGCAGGGAAGAAAUUGGACGGUACCUGACUAAGAAGCCCCGGCUAACUACGUGCCAGCAGCCGCGGAAAUCCGUAGGGGGCAAGCGUUAUCCGGAUUUAUUGGGUUUAAAGGGUGCGCAGGCGGGCUGUUAAGCCGGCGGUAAAAAUUCGGGGCUCAACCCUGUCGAGCCGUCGGAACUGGCAGCCUUGAGUGGGCGAGAAGUAUGCGGAAUGCGUGGUGUAGCGGUGAAAUGCAUAGAUAUCACGCAGAACGCCGAUUGCGAAGGCAGCAUACCGGCGCCCGACUGACGCUGAGGCACGAAAGCGUGGGGAUCGAACAGGAUUAGAUACCCCUGUAGUC
rnacentral:rRNA from 1 species